CGGCCCUCAAGCGGAAAGAGGUCUGACAUACGGGAUUCCCUCAAAAUAUGGUCAGUGGUUUUCUAUUUACUACAAAUACUACAGCUUGGAUCUGCGUCAAUUCCUAUUUGAUUUAGGAAUUGCUUAGCCGGAAGUCUGUUAUGAAAGCAAAUCCAAAGAAAAAAAUUUACUUUAUUAGGGCACUUCAAUUUCCAAAUCCAUUUAUAGUUAAGAGUUAGAAUCAGUACAUUGGGAGUUCUUCUGAAGUAAAUGUUGAUAUGCCAUGGCUGUUGAAAAAUGGUUUCCUGGUGUGAGAUAACAUCGCAUCUUAUCGAUAAGGUUAUGUUGAGGGAUGGUGGUAGCGACGAUUACUUCGGCUAUUGUCUUAGGAAGACGGUAGCUUAAGGUAUUUAGAUCCCAUUUCCCAUUUUUAAUCAGAGCAUCCACUAUUUGUUCUGCAUUCGUUUUGUUCAAAAUAGUAUGAAUUAAAUUUCUUAAAGAAACUUUGAAGGAGGACCACGAAUCUUUCCAAACUCUUAUUUUUUUACCAUUCCCAAGUUCUCAAUUUGAUUAUUCUAAACAGACCUCCCAACCAUGGGUGAUGUUUUUCCAAGUACUGCUUCUAUUUUUGGGAUUGUUUUAAAAGUUAUCCAAUCUUCCAAUCUUGGAGUAUUUUGGUAAUAGUACGAGGCCCAUAGGGAGUUUGGUUGAUUGAAGAUUCUCCAUGCUAAUUUAGCAUGGAGAGAUUGAUUUCUGAUCUUUGCUUUUUGAAUACCUAGCCCUCCUGUGUCUUUAGGUUUGGUGAUUGUAUCCCAUCCUACAAGGUGCAUUUUUCUUGUUAUCAUUCAACCCCCAAACAAAGUCCUGUUGAAUUUUGUCUAUUUAUUUGAGGAAGGUUAGUAUAUUGUAUAAUGUGGAUAGGGAUACUAUUAAGGCAAGCUUUCGCUAACAUAGUGCGCCCGACCAUAUUUAAGAAAUCUGCCUUCCAACCCGAUCGCUUCUUUCUAAGGUUGUCAAUGACAAACUGAAAGUUCUUGGCACAAGGUCUAGUGGAAAGAAUUGGGAACCCUAAAUAUCUUCCAAAGUACAUGCGGAGAUAUUGAGGAUGGCAGAGAUAUCUCUUUUUAACUCGUUACCAUAAUUUUUGGAAAAAAGAAUUUUAGAAUUCUCAUAGUUGAUUCUUUGCCCAGACCAGAUGCAAAAUUUUUGCAAACUAUUUUUAACAUUUAUACAACUAUCCCUAUCAGUUGUAGACAUUAGGAUUAGGUCAUCAGAAAAGAACAGAUGGCACAGGUUUGGGCCAGACUUGCUAUUUUUUAUACGGUCCCACAUGUUGUUUUUGAUCUCAUGGUUGAUGUUAUGUGCCAGAACUUCCAUGCAAAGAAUGGAGAUAUACGGGGAAAUGGGAUCUCCCUGUCAAAUUCCUCUAGAGGGGCUGAAAAAGUCCGUCCUCGUAGCAUUGACUAAAAUAGCAACAGGGCUAGUACAUAUGCAGGAUAUAAUAAGGUUUAUAAUAUUCAAUAGGAAAUUAAAAUAGUGUAGUAUAUGUCUGAUAAAAGACCAUUUUAUUUUAUUGAAAACCUUUUCUAGGACGUUGCCCUUAUCCCCUUUUAUUUUAUUAAAGUUUCUGAUUAUUUUCUGGAUGAUAAUAGCAUUAAGCUUGUCUGACACGGGCCUAUGAUUUUGUCCAUAAUAGGACACAUCCUUUUUGAAAUAAUUUUUGUAAUGAUUUUAUAUGACGCAUUACAAAAACUGAUGGGGCGGUAGCUUUUGAGGUUUUGAGCAUCAAGGUUCUUUGGAAUGAGACAUAUAUGGGUUGAAUUGAUACUGGGAUCAAUAGAUUCCUCCACAAAUGCUUCAUGAUAGAAUAAAAAAAUUGAUUUGCGUAAAAUGUCCCAAUAUUUCUGAUAGAAAAAGGGUGUAACCCAUUGGGACCUGGAGCUUUAAAGGGAUGAAAAGAGAAGACGGCCUCAUUGACUUCUCUCUUAGAAGGCAUUCUUCCUAGGUCUAAUUUGUCUACCUCGGAAAGGCAAAUUUUGGCUACCGGGACUGCCACGCGGAAGGAUUUGUGGUGGUUGGAUUUAAACAAGUCCUCAAAGAAGGAAAAAAUAUGGAUUAGUAAGUCAUCUUGGUCAUGGAUAUAAGACUAUUGUCCAGUUUUAGCGAAACUAUCCUAUUCCUUCUUCUUCUAACGAGGGUUGAGGUAUGGACAAAUUUUGUGCUUGCAUCCCCCUUAUUUAACCACGUUAUCCUAGACUUGAGUUUCCAGUAAUCUUCUUCCAUCCUAAGGAGGACAUUAUAAUCAUUUAUAAGCUCCUUUUCUAGUUUUUGGAGGAACAUACUGCGGUGAUAGUUAGGGGAUUUUUGAAUCCCAUAGAUUUUACGAAGCAACUUAUCUUUUUUUCUAAAAAUAUUCCCUAUGUUAUUGCAUGCCCAUGCAGAUGCUUCUUUUUCAAAUAUAACUACUGCCUCAACUAAUGGAGGAUCAUUUUCCCAUACGUGGGAAAGUAUGUUAAUAAACUCUGGAUUGGUCAUCCAUAUUUUUUCAAAUUUGAAUAUACGCUUUCGAAGAUUAUGGUCAUCCCUAAAUAAUGUUAGAAGGAGAGGGAAGUGGUCAGAGUGAGUAUGAGGUAGGUGGAUUACGUGGGCAUUAGGGUACUAAACAAGCCAAUCAUUAGUUACAAGGAUUCGGUCCAGUCUCCCAAGGAUUAAAGCAUUACGAUUAUUGAUACUCUUAUUUAGCCAAGUAUAUUUACUAUCUUUGUAUCCCAUAUCUAUAAAUUUGUAAUAGUUUAUCACUUGAUGAAAUUCAACGGAUUGAGAUCUGUUAAUCAACUUACCACUUUUCUUUUCUGAGUUGGAUAGGAGCUCAUUGAAAUCACCUCUUAUUAACCACUUACCUGGGAAACUGUCCUUGAUAUGUUUGAGAUUUUGCCAUAAAGUCUUACAUUUGUGAGUAUAUGUACUAGCAUAUAUACAACUAUAAAGCUAAGUAUCAUUGUUGUCUCUUACCUUAACAAUAGCAUGAAUUUCCUGGUUUGUGGUAGCAAUCUCGUCCAGUUCCAGGAUAGAGUCAUCCCACAUGACUGCUAGGCCACCUGCAUUUCCAAAUGUUGGGUCCUCAAUGAUCCUAUUAAAAGAAAAAUCAUUGAGCAGUAGUUGGUUGUCUUGCAUCUUUGUUUCCAGCAAAGCGACUAGAGGAGGCUUGUGCUAAUCCACUAAAGACCUAAAGUUCCUUCUAAAAUCAUGGCCAUUUUCCCCCCUACAAUUCCAUAUUAUGAGGUUCAUGGAUUUGUUCCUUUGUGGUGGGUUUAUCAGAGUAAUUUCCCUUGAGGUAUUUCUCAAAGGGGGAGUUUGGUUCAUCAUCGUUGGGUUCAUGACCAGGACAUAGUUCCCCACCUAGGGGGUGAAGGGUCGUCGGAUGUCUAGAGAGAUCUUUAUUAGAUUUUGGGGUCAAAUGAGGAUGAAUUUCUUGGUGAAAUUAUCAUUGAACACCAUUACUUUUAUAUCCUUUAGUACAGUUAUUUCAGUUCUUGUUUCUCGCAUUAUAUCUAGAUCUUCCUUUAUCUCUCAAAUAGAGGUAUUCACUGGACUUGGAUGAGCUAAAAUGGUAUUGGGAGGUACCUGGAAGGAUGAUGCUACAUUGUUUUCCUGUGUUACUGCCUGAUUCUCCAGUGGUCCGAUCGAACUCGACAGGUUUUGCAUUUGUCCUUCCCCUAUCAUCAUUCCUUAUAUCUGCCAAUGGAAGUACAGUGGGUCUACGUCCAUAAAGUUAUGAUAUGUUUGAAACUGGGGUGGAGAUAUCGGGAUCAUUUGUGGCUGCAGAACUAGUAUUGUUGGGGUUUACCAAGUGAAGAAUGGGAUGGUCGGUACUGGGAAGUUUAUCGGGGCUUGAAGAACUAUCGACAUCCAUAUGUGGCUAUUGUAUAGUUCCAUUUCCCUCCUUAUCCCUUCCAAAGCUAAGUAAGAUAAGAGCUCCGGAGUGCUGAUGACACACAUGACCUGCCUGUCUUCAAAGUACACAUGCGUCACAAGAGCUUGGACUUGCAGGUCUAUCUCCACCCAUGACGUAGGGUUAGGGUUCAGAGGAGCUUUCGGCGUAGAGUAUAUCAGCAUUGAGCCCUCCGACAUCCCUGGAACUGGAUAAAGAUAGAUUGGAGGGAGGCAGAUUGGAGACGCAUGAGGGUUAAGUGGGUUCAUCAUGUGUGGAGUGUAGGAGGUUCUUUGGAUGGCUUGGUUGUGUAGUGAUCGUUUUAGGCGUCUGGGCAUCAUUGUUAUUUAUAUUAGGAGUAUUGGUUUGGUAAGUGAUAUUUGGAAAAAAGACCGUAUUUAUUUUAGUUUGUGAAGGUUCGGGGAUAUUAGAAGUGGAAGAUUGAGGAUAUUUUGUGGGGAAAUUUACUGAAUCAAGAGUAGUAGAUUUUAGGAUUUUAUUACUGUUUGUAGUAUCAUUAAUUAGGGGUGCUCCACUAAAAGUGAUAUUUUUGCCUAUAGCAUUUGUGGUGGAGGAUUUUUCCACGUUUAAGUUAAUAUGACGUGGCGUCCUUGUGCUGGAGCAUUGAGCGUCAGCUGGAGGACAUGACAUGUCCUUGACCCGUACAAUAUCAGUAGGGGUCAAUGUAGGCCCUUUAGUUGAGAUGAGGUCAUUUACUGUGGCCCUUUUUUAGGGUAUAUUUGUAAAAGUGUUACCUUUGCUUUCCAGCUUGGCAAGGAUGGCAUCAGGCCCAUUUUCUAUGUUUUGGGGAGAGUUCAGAGUAGGCUUAGAAUUGGAACUCCGGGGGAUAUUUUUAUGAUAAUUUGUAUCUUUAAUCUUAGAUUGAGUGGGAGAACCUUCUUUAGAAGUGGAAGGAAUAAACAUAUCCUUACUUUUAACAAUGUAUUUAGUCGUCUGAUAGUCAGUGGACUUACUCGUGUCUGUGUUAUCGACUCUGACAGCAGUAUCCUCAGGUAGAUGUUGAUGAUAAGUCACACUUAUUCCCCUUGUCCUAGGAAGGCUCUUGAAGCUAGUACUUUCAUCCAUGGAGCGUGAUGCCACCUUAAAUUGGUUAUUCUUGGUGCGUUUUUUGAAAUUGACCACCUGCCAGUCCUCUUUACUACAUUCAUUGUGCGGAGUUUGAGUUUGUGGUGUGGUAUCUGUAGUUUCCUCAGGAAGCAUAGUUGCAGGGAUUGUACAUCGAUUAUGACACAUCCCGAGUGUGUGUCCUAUCAUUCCGCAAUUUGUGCAUAGGAUGUCGGCCCCUUCAUAAACUAUAAAUUGUUUUAAACUUCCAAUGUAUAUGUGCUUCUUGACUGGGACUCCCAUUGGAACUUCAAUACAUAUUCGGGCAUAUCGACCUCGAAGCGUUGUAGAUGUACAUAUAUCCGUCUUAACUAGUUUUCCCAAUUUGCUACCAAUUUUGGUUAGAAUUGAAUGGUCGUAGUAUUCUGUCGGUAGUUCCGGUAGGCGUAUCCAUAUAGCUGAUACAGUUUCAUUUGCCUCCGAUGCUGCGACGUUUGGGUGCCACUUUCUAACCGAUAGAAAGGCUCCGUUAAUGAACCACGACACUUUUUGGAGGGUUGUUUGCAAGUUCUCCUUUUUGAGGAAUUGAACUAUGAAAUAAUCACUACCCAGAUCAAUGAGGAUUAAUUCUUCCGUAGGUUUCCACAACACUGAAAGUCUAUUUUUGAGAUAGGCGUGGUUAAUCUUCCUCCUCGUUAGUUUAAUGAUCACCGAGUAUGACCAUGGGCGAUAGAUUCGAGCUUUUUCCACCGCCGUUAGUACGAUGGCUUUGUCAGUCAGAUUGUUAAUAAGCAUCGUCUCUUCUCGAUUCAUAUCCACCUCCAUUGAUUCAGAAGGUGUGUCCGGAGAUUUUGCUGAAGUUUCACUAGAAGGGACAAUUUGGGAAAGUGCGUUUAGGUAGUUCAUAGUUGAGUAGCUUAUGCUUGAGUGUCGAUUUGGGAGUGGUGGCUGAUCUUGGCAGCCUUCUGGUAAUAUCUUAUCAGUCGGGUCUAUUUGGAUGGGAUCCGUGGUAGAUGAACAGUUAGAGAGAAGUUAGACCUUCUCUCUCUAAAGUUAGUCGUUUAAUUCAUUUGUAGAAUUUAUUGUAAUUUACUACUUUUGUCGUCCCAAUUCAAAAUAAAAGGUACAUAUUUAAGAACUUGCACAAAAAAUACUACAAGACAACAUAUCUAAUCGUCUCACUGUUCUUCACUUUUAUUUAUCUUGUUUUUUCUGUUAGACAGUAGCUUCUUCGGUUAUGAUUCACUUGAUGAGGGAACAGUUAGGUGCCAUCACGACUUCAAAAAGAUUUGGGUUGUAACAAUACCGGUUCAUUAGUUUGGAUCUUUUAUCUCUUUACUUGUUAAAGCACAUUCAAAAAGUAAAUUAAACAAGAAAAAAGAGGUUAAAUUGUAUAUAUGCAAAGAGACUCUUGACUGGCAGCAUUUGUAAAAUAGCAAGGGAAGGGAAGCACACAACAAUCACAAAACCAUAAUGUAGAAACUUACAUCUACAUCAUUUGUUUAGCCUAUAAGUAGGAAUAGCCAUUAAAGGGUUUUGUCUGGAUGUUACUAUCCCAAAGUGCUCAUCAAUGUCCAAAUCACUAGGCUGCAUACCAUUUGGAAGCUCCCACUCAAAGCAAUGCACCAAUUGUGCCACCACAAGGCGGACGACAGUAAUUCCCAACUGCAUUCCAGGGCAGCUUCUUCUCCCAGAGCCAAAUGGUAUAAGUUGGAAGUCG
rnacentral:lncRNA from 1 species